UGUCAUUUAAUGGACACUAAAAAAAACAAAAAUCAUAUAUGUGAAAGUUGACCAACUCUCUUCAUAUGGGUGACACAUCAUCACACAAGAAAAUGACAUGUGUCUUUUAACAUUGAUUAAAUUAAAAAUCA
rnacentral:sRNA from 1 species